rnacentral:rRNA from 1 species
GACGUAGGGCGCGAGCGUUGUCCGGAUUUACUGGGCGUAAAGGGCGCGUAGGCGGCCACCGCAAGUCGACUGUGAAAUCUCCGGGCUUAACUCGGAAAGGUCAGCCGAUACUGCGGGGCUAGAGUGCAGAAGGGGCAACUGGAAUUCUCGGUGUAGCGGUGAAAUGCGUAGAUAUCGAGAGGAACACCUGCGGCGAAGGCGGGUUGCUGGGCUGACACUGACGCUGAUUGUGCGAAAGCUAGGGGAGCGAACGGGG